GACCUGUUGUGAUGGCUCCUCUUCCAUAUCCAAUAGAGUUCCUCUGCUCAUGGUUGUGUAGAAAAAUCCAGAAAAGAGCCACCACACAGCACAGUGGUCUUCAUAGUGGCUAUGCUCCCUGGAGUGUGCAAGGACAUUCAUCAGAGCAGAGAAAAAAAUGCAAAUACGAUGGAGGGGGAGCUGGUUUUCUCAAGCCAGCCUUGAGAAAACACAGUGAUGGGUCAGGCAGAUGAAAUGGCUGUAACCAUUGGUAUCUAAAGCAUCCUCUAUGCACACUCUUUGAUGAGAGUGGAGACAAUGCCAGGAUUUUAUGAAGGUAUGUCAUAAUUACAUUCAACUAUACUCACAAUGACCAG